AGGGCGCAUGGUGGAUGCCUUGGCACUAGGAGCCGAUGAAGGACGGGACAAACACCGAAAUGCUUUGGGGAGUUGUAAGUAAGCUUUGAUCCAGAGAUAUCCGAAUGGGGAAACCCACUAAGAGUAAUCUUAGUAUCUGUAUGUGAAUACAUAGCAUGCAGGAGGAAGACGCGGGGAACUGAAACAUCUCAGUACCUGCAGGAAGAGAAAGAAAAAUCGAUUUCCUGAGUAGCGGCGAGCGAAACGGAAAGAGCCCAAACCAAGAAGCUUGCUUCUUGGGGUUGUAGGACUACAAUAACGGACUUAAAUAAGAUAGAAGAAUGAGUUGGGAAGCUCAGCCGUAGAAGGUGAUAGCCCUGUAUUUUAAAUCUUGUUUAUACCAAAGUAGUAUCCUGAGUACGGCUGGACACGAGAAAUCCAGUCGGAAUCCGGGAGGACCAUCUCCCAAGGCUAAAUACUCCCUAGUGACCGAUAGUGAACCAGUACCGUGAGGGAAAGGUGAAAAGCACCCCGGGAGGGGAGUGAAAUAGAUCCUGAAACCAUGUGCCUACAAGUAGUCAAAGCCCGUUAAUGGGUGAUGGCGUGCCUUUUGUAGAAUGAACCGGCGAGUUACGUUAUGAUGCAAGGUUAAGUUGAAGAGACGGAGCCGAAGCGAAAGCGAGUCUGAAUAGGGCGAAUAAGUAUCAUGAUGUAGACCCGAAACCAAGUGACCUAUCCAUGUCCAGGUUGAAGAUGCAGUAAAAUGCAUUGGAGGACCGAACCCACGUACGUUGAAAAGUGCGGGGAUGAGGUGUGGAUAGCGGUGAAAUUCCAAACGAACUUGGAGAUAGCUGGUUCUCUCCGAAAUAGCUUUAGGGCUAGCCUUGGAGUAAAGGAUCGUGGAGGUAGAGCACUGUUUGGACUAGGGGCCCGUCAAGUUACUGAAUUCAGAUAAACUCCGAAUGCCAUUGAUCUAUAUCCAGGAGUCAGACUAUGAGUGAUAAGAUCCGUAGUCGAAAGGGAAACAGCCCAGAUCACCAGUUAAGGUCCCAAAAUUUAUGCUAAGUGGAAAAGGAUGUGGCAUUGCGUAGACAACUAGGAUGUUGGCUUAGAAGCAGCCAUUCAUUUAAAGAGUGCGUAAUAGCUCACUAGUCGAGUGACGCCGCGCCGAAAAUGUACCGGGGCUAAGCAUAGUACCGAAACUGUGGAUGUGUUAUUUAUAACACGUGGUAGGAGAGCGUUCUAAGGGCGAAGAAGGUAGAUCGUAAGGACUGCUGGAGCGCUUAGAAGUGAGAAUGCCGGUAUGAGUAGCGAAAGAUAGGUGAGAAUCCUAUCCGCCGAAAGACUAAGGUUUCCUGGGGAAGGCUCGUCCUCCCAGGGUUAGUCGGGACCUAAGAUGAGGCCGAAAGGCGUAGUCGAUGGAAAACAGGUUGAUAUUCCUGUACUAUAAUGCAUUGUUUGAACAAUGGAGGGACGCAGCAGGCUAAACGAAUGUGCGAAUGGAAGAGCACGUCCAAGCAACAAGUUUUAUUAUGAGUCAAAUGCUUAUAAUUAUACGGAUGAGUUGUGAUGGGGAGCGAAAUUAAGUAGCGAAGUCGUUGAUGUCACACUGCCGAGAAAAGCUUCUAGUUAGAUGUAUUGUACCCGUACCGCAAACCGACACAGGUAGUCGAGGAGAGAAUCCUAAGGUGAGCGAGUGAACUCUCGUUAAGGAACUCGGCAAAAUGACCCCGUAACUUCGGGAGAAGGGGUGCUGAUUUUAAAUCAGCCGCAGUGAAUAGGCCCAAACAACUGUUUAUCAAAAACACAGGUCUCUGCUAAAUCGAAAGAUGACGUAUAGGGCUGACGCCUGCCCGGUGCUGGAAGGUUAAGAGGAGAGCUUAGCGUAAGCGAAGGUUUGAAUUGAAGCCCCAGUAAACGGCGGCCGUAACUAUAACGGUCCUAAGGUAGCGAAAUUCCUUGUCGGGUAAGUUCCGACCCGCACGAAAGGCGCAAUGAUUUGGGCACUGUCUCAACGAGAGACUCGGUGAAAUUAUAUUACCAGUGAAGAUGCUGGUUACCCGCGACAGGACGGAAAGACCCCAUGGAGCUUUACUGUAGCUUGAUAUUGAGUAUUUGUGAAACAUGUACAGGAUAGGUAGGAGUCGAUGAAGUGAGAACGCUAGUUUCAUGGAGACAUUGUUGGGAUACUACCCUUGUUUUAUGAAUCCUCUAACUUUUGCCAAUUAUCUUGGUAGAGGACAGUGUCAGGUGGGCAGUUUGACUGGGGCGGUCGCCUCCUAAAGUGUAACGGAGGCGCCCAAAGGUUCCCUCAGAAUGGUUGGAAAUCAUUCGCAGAGUGUAAAGGUAUAAGGGAGCUUGACUGCGAGACUUACAAGUCGAGCAGGGACGAAAGUCGGGCUUAGUGAUCUGGUGGUACCGCAUGGAAGGGCCAUCACUCAACGGAUAAAAGCUACCCUGGGGAUAACAGGCUUAUCUCCCCCAAGAGUUCACAUCGACGGGAGGUUUGGCACCUCGAUGUCGGCUCGUCGCAUCCUGGGGCUGUAGUCGGUCCCAAGGGUUGGGCUGUUCGCCCAUUAAAGCGGCACGCGAGCUGGGUUCAGAACGUCGUGAGACAGUUCGGUCCCUAUCCGUCGCGGGCGUGGAAAUUUGAGAGGAGCUGUCCUUAGUACGAGAGGACCGGGAUGGACAUACCGCUGGUGUACCAGUUGUUCUGCCAAGGGCAUCGCUGGGUAGCUAUGUAUGGACGGGAUAAGCGCUGAAAGCAUCUAAGUGCGAAGCCCCCUCAAGAUGAGAUUUCCCAUUCCUUUA
rnacentral:rRNA from 1 species